rnacentral:rRNA from 1 species
GAUGAACGCUGGCGGCGUGCCUAAUACAUGCAAGUCGAGCGAACAGACGAGGAGCUUGCUCCUCUGACGUUAGCGGCGGACGGGUGAGUAACACGUGGAUAACCUACCUAUAAGACUGGGAUAACUUCGGGAAACCGGAGCUAAUACCGGAUAAUAUAUUGAACCGCAUGGUUCAAUAGUGAAAGACGGUUUUGCUGUCACUUAUAGAUGGAUCCGCGCCGCAUUAGCUAGUUGGUAAGGUAACGGCUUACCAAGGCAACGAUGCGUAGCCGACCUAAGAGGGUGAUCGGCCACACUGGAACUGAGACACGGUCCAGACUCCUACGGGAGGCAGCAGUAGGGAAUCUUCCGCAAUGGGCGAAAGCUUGACGGAGCAACGCCGCGUGAGUGAUGAAGGUCUUCGGAUCGUAAAACUCUGUUAUUAGGGAAGAACAAAUGUGUAAGUAACUAUGCACGUCUUGACGGUACCUAAUCAGAAAGCCACGGCUAACUACGU